UACGGAGGGUGCAAGCGUUAUCCGGAUUCAUUGGGCGUAAAGGGUGCGUAGGUGGCGCUGUAAGUCGGGUGUGAAAUUUCGGAGCUUAACUCCGAAACUGCAUUCGAUACUGCGGUGCUUGAGGACUGGAGAGGAGACUGGAAUUCAUGGUGUAGCAGUGAAAUGCGUAGAGAUCAUGAGGAAGACCAGUGGCGAAGGCGGGUCUCUGGACAGUUCCUGACACUGAGGCACGAAGGCCAGGGGAGCAAACGGG
rnacentral:rRNA from 1 species